ensembl:snRNA
CAGUUGUAUGAAAGGAGAGGCUAGCACUCCCUUGAUAAGGAUGGAAGAGGCCCUAGUGGCCUGAACAACAUGGAUCUUUUAAAAAAACAACAACAUAGGAUUUCCCCAUUUUUGU